rnacentral:rRNA from 1 species
CAGCCGCCGCGGUAAUACCGGCAGCCCGAGUGGCGGUCACUAUUAUUUGGCUUAAAGCGUCCGUAGCCGGGUUGGGAAGUCCUCCGGGAAAUCUGGCCGCUUAACGGUCAGAAUGCCGGAGGAUACUCCCAGCCUAGGGAGCGGGAGAGGCCGAGGGUAUUCCCGGAGUAGGGGGGAAAUCCUAUAAUCCCGGGAGGACCACCUGUGGCGAAGGCGCUCGGCUGGAACGCGUCCGACGGUGAGGGACGAAGGCCAGGGGAGCAAACCGGAUUAGAUACCCGGGUAGUCCUGGCUGUAAACGAUGCGGACUUUGUGUCGGACAAGCUAUGAGCUUGUCCGGUGCCGGAGGGAAACCGUUAAGUCCGCCGCCUGGGGAGUACGGCCGCAAGGCUGAAACUUAAAGGAAUUGGCGGG